UUGGAUAUGGUGUAACGGCUAACACGACCGCCUCUCGUACUUACUCUGUAUACAUAAAGGGUUUUUUUCUGUGUAUCAGAGAGAGUAGUAUGAGCAUGCACUACUCAGUGUAGUUCAAGGAUACUCAUUUUAUAGCCUGAGGGCUUGAGCUUGAGGCGGAAGCUCGGGGUUCGACUCCCCGUAUCCGAA